UCCCUGGUGGUCUAGUGGUUAGGCUUCAGCGCUCUCACCGCCGCGGCCCGGGUUUGAUUCCCGGUCGGGGAA
rnacentral:tRNA from 1 species